GACGACCGCUGGCGGCGUGCCUAAUACAUGCAAGUCGAACGCAGUGGGAACGGGUGAGUAACACGUGGGUAACCUCCCAUCAGAGGGGAUAACACUUGGAAACAGGUGCUAAAACUGAUACGGAUGUAUGAACCAGCUGUGGAUUAGCUAGUUGGUGAGGUACCGGCUCACCAAGGCCACGAUGCAUGGCGGACCUGAGAGGGUGAUCAGCCACACUGGGACUGAGACACGGCCCAGACUCUUACGGGAGGCAGCAGUGGGGAAUAUUCGGCAAUGGGCGCAAGCCUGAUCGAGCCAUGCCGCGUGUAUGAAGAAGGUUUUAGGGUUGUAAAGCUCUGUUGUCGGGGAAGCGGUAUCCACAGAAAAAGCAACGGCUAACUCCGUGCCAGCAGCCGCGGUAAUUC
rnacentral:rRNA from 1 species